CUUGGAGUCUUCUCAGUGAGCCUAGGACAAGGGAAAGAUUCCUUCCACUUCUGAACUGGACAACAGAGUCAGGUCAGCCUCUCAUAGUAUUCCUUGCACAUACUUACGAAACCAGGGAUCCAUAUGAUGCAAAACCAGUGCUCAGAGAACUUGAGGAGGCUCCCUUCAAGUACUGGAAUGCCACAG